ncrna:Pseudomonas aeruginosa BL04 RT-15 RNA
CAUCGCCAGCCGUGUGAGCGCCACGGCCCUCACACCAGCGCGAUUUUGAUUCUGGUCGUGCCGCUGGCUCACAAGGCCACCGUCAUGCGCACCAGGGGAACCGCCGGGCAUCGUCCCGGCAGGCCCUGCGCAGUCUCGCCACUGAUCGGCCUCGGCCUUCGGCAGCGCGACGUAGAUAGCACGACCUGGCG